GGCCAGCCCCUGGCUCACAGCCCACCAAGUUCCACCUGCUCACAGGUUGGCUGGCUCAACCAAGGUGGUAGCCCCUGCUCUGCGCAUCCAGGCCGAGUCCAUCCUGCACCAUGGCUAGAUACAGAUGCUGCCGCAGCCAAAGCAGGUGCCGCCGCCAGCGACGAAGAUGUCGCAGGCGAAGGAGGCGAUGUGUCCGAAGGCGGAGAGUGUGCUGCCGCCGCUACACUGUUGUGAGGUGUAGACGACGACGAUAAUGCACGCGAUAGCAAGUCCACCACACUCCUGCCUGAAAUGUCACCAGCCUUCAAGACCCUCUUGCCACAUCUUGAAAGUGCCACCAUCCCAAUGAAAUGAACAGGAGCCUGCUAGCGAACAAUGCCACCUGUCAAUAAAUGUUGAGGACAUAACCGCA